AGCAGCCGCGGUAAUUCCAGCUCCAAUAGCGUAUAUUAAAGUUGUUGCAGUUAAAAAGCUCGUAGUUGAAUUUCGGGAUCGAAUUGUUGGUCGUGCUUCGGUACGCACUGGCAUUAUCGGUUCCUACCUUCUGAAGAACCGCGAUGUCAUUAAUUUGGUGUCGUGGGGAAUCAGGACUGUUACUUUGAAAAAAUUAGAGUGUUUAAAGCAGGCUUACGCUUGAAUACAUUAGCAUGGAAUAAUGAAAUAGGACGUUUGAUUCUAUUUUGUUGGUUUCUAGGAUCGACGUAAUGAUUAAUAGGGAUAGUUGGGGGCAUUAGUAUUCAAUUGUCAGAGGUGAAAUUCUUGGAUUUAUUGAAGACUAACUACUGCGAAAGCAUUUGCCAAGGAUGUUUUCAUUAAUCAAGAACGAAAGUUAGGGGAUCGAAGACGAUCAGAUACCGUCGUAGUCUUAACCAUAAACUAUGCCGACUAGGGAUCGGAUGAUGUUAAUUUUUUAAUGACUCA
rnacentral:rRNA from 1 species